CNACAGUGUCGCAUGGCACAGGGUCAAGGAUUUAUCCGCUGAAAGAAUGGGCUCGCGUCCGAUUAGCUAGAUGGUGAGGUAACGGCCCACCAUGGCAACGAUCGGUAGCCGGACUGAGAGGUUGAACGGCCACAUUGGGACUGAGACACGGCCCAGACUCNUACGGGAGGCAGCAGUGGGGAAUAUUGCACAAUGGGGGAAACCCUGAUGCAGCGACGCCGCGUGGAGGAAGAAGGUCUUCGGAUUGUAAACUCCUGUCCCAGGGGACGAUAAUGACGGUACCCUGGGAGGAAGCACCGGCUAACUACGUGCCAGCAGCCGCGGUAAAACGUAGGGUGCAAGCGUUGUCCGGAAUUACUGGGUGUAAAGGGAGCGCAGGCGGAUUGGCAAGUUGGGAGUGAAAUCUAUGGGCUCAACCCAUAAAUUGCUUUCAAAACUGUCAGUCUUGAGUGGUGUAGAGGUAGGCGGAAUUCCCGGUGUAGCGGUGGAAUGCGUAGAUAUCGGGA
rnacentral:rRNA from 1 species